UACGUAGGGUGCAAGCGUUGUCCGGAAUUAUUGGGCGUAAAGAGCUCGUAGGCGGUUUGUCGCGUCGAAUGUGAAAACCCGGGGCUCAACCCCGGGCCUGCAUUCGAUACGGGCAGACUAGAGUUCGGUAGGGGAGUCUGGAAUUCCUGGUGUAGCGGUGAAAUGCGCAGAUAUCAGGAGGAACACCGGUGGCGAAGGCGGGACUCUGGGCCGAUACUGACGCUGGAGGAGCGAAAGCGUGGGGAGCGAACAGG
rnacentral:rRNA from 1 species